GACGAACGCUGGCGGCGUGCUUAACACAUGCAAGUCGAACGAAGAGCGACGGAAGCUUGCUUCUAUCAAUCUUAGUGGCGAACGGGUGAGUAACGCGUAAUCAACCUGCCCUUCAGAGGGGGACAACAGUUGGAAACGACUGCUAAUACCGCAUACGAUCUAACCUCGGCAUCGAGGAUAGAUGAAAGGUGGCCUCUACAUGUAAGCUAUCACAGAAGGAGGGGAUUGCGGCGGAUGAGCUCGUUGGAGGGGUAAGGUCCCACCAAGGCGAGGAUCAGUAGCCGGACUGAGAGGAUGAGCGGCCGCAUUGGGACGGAGACACGGCCCAGACUCCUACGGGAGGCAGCAGGGGGGAAUCUUGCGCAAUGGACGAAAGUCUGACGGAGCAACGCCGCGGGCGUGAUGACGGCCGUCGGGUUGUAAAGCUCUGUUAAUCGGGACGAAAGGCCUUCUUGCGAAUAGUGAGAAGGAUUGUCGGUACCGGAAGAGAAAGCCACGGCUAACUACGUG
rnacentral:rRNA from 1 species